ACGUUCAUCCUUUGAAAGGACGGAAGUAGGCUGUAACGCUGAAGGAACGCAC
rnacentral:ncRNA from 1 species